UACAUGGGGUGCAAACGUUGCUCGGAAUUAUUGGGCGUAAAGCGCACGUAGGCGGUUCGUUAAGUCGGAUGUGAAAGCCCUCGGCUCAACUGAGGAAGUGCACCCGAAACUGGCGAGCUUGAGUACGAAAGAGGAUCGCGGAAUUCCCGGUGUAGAGGUGAAAUUCGUAGAUAUCGGGAGGAACACCGGCGGCGAAGGCGGCGAUCUGGGUCGAUACUGACGCUGAGGUGCGAAAGCGUGGGGAGCCGAACAGG
rnacentral:rRNA from 1 species